CCUACGGGUGGCUGCAGUGAGGAAUAUUGGUCAAUGGGCGCGAGCCUGAACCAGCCAAGUAGCGUGAAGGAUGACUGCCCUACGGGUUGUAAACUUCUUUUAUAAAGGAAUAAAGUGAGGCACGUGUGCCUUUUUGUAUGUACUUUAUGAUUAAGGAUCGGCUAACUACGUGCCAGCAGCCGCGGUAAUACGGAGGGUCCGAGCGUUAUCCGGAUUUAGUGGGUUUAAAGGGAGCGGAGAUGGGUUGUUAAGUCAGUUGUGAAAGUUUGCGGCUCAACCGUAAAAUUGCAAUUGAUACUGGCAGUUUUGAGUACAGUUGAGGUAGGCGGAAUUCGUGGUGUAGCGGUGACAUGCUUAGAUAUCACGAAGAACUCCGAUUGCGAAGGCAGCUUACUAAACUGCCACUGACAUUGAUGCUCGAAAGUGUGGGUAUCAAACAGGAUUAGAUACCCGUGUAGUC
rnacentral:rRNA from 1 species